AAAGACAAACCAGGUAAAGAACUUAGGAACUGGUAGUCAGGUGUGUUCCACUUUUUCUCAGCUGUAGUUAUAUCUAUUUUUCUUUUCUUUAAUGCACUAUUUGGUGCCUUUGGAUUCUUUCAAACUGUUUCUCUGUUUUUUAUUUGUUUACUAAAUUCUCAACGACAUUGCAUUACUCAUUUCUCUCAAAUGGAUAUUUUGGCUUAUUUUUCUCCUUCAUUAUGAGCCAAUUUUCAUUCCUUUUCUUUUCCUAGUGUUUACCUUUCCAAGUUUUUAAAACAAAGCC
rnacentral:lncRNA from 1 species